UGACCUCGGAUCAGGUAGGAAUACCCGCUGAACUUAAGCAUAUCAAUAAAGCGGAGGA
rnacentral:rRNA from 5 species